GCCUCCGAGUGUACAGCGAUUCGGUCAUGUGACGGAGAAUGCCAACAUGGACCCGUGUCAAGGACGGACUCGAUUUACACUGCUAUAGACGACGAGGAACAACUUAUUACAUACUUUGUGCAGGUUUACUGGAUUGUAUUGCGAAAUUAUAAACGGAUUUUCUCGUCUGACGUUUCCCUGACAUCCUCUCUGCUGUAUCUGGCCUGGAUCAAUGGUAUCUAUCAGCAGCAGAACGCUGACUUUGGACAAUGAACUGUUUAGGGACAGUGGCAGCCCGUACUCCCCCAGCCUAGGGCAGGGCAUGGGCAGUGAUGGGGGCAGCUUGGUCUCAUGUUACAGCCCCGAGACCGGGGAGCUAGGAGCCUUGCUCAGCUCCAGUCCUGGAGAACAGGAGGAGGAGGACGAUGAGGAAGAGCAGUACAUGGACGAGGACGACGGGUCCAGUCUGCAUAUUUUUCUUGGCGCGGGCGGUGAGGAGGAGGAGCUCCAGGCGGCGGGCGAGGAGGCCGGCCUGCCGCAGUUCCCGCUCCGCCUGCCGUCCCCCUUCUCCCCGACCCUGGAGGACAUCGAGGAGUUCCUCCGGGAGAAGAUGGAGCUUGUCCGGGACGGCCGGCUGGGCUCUGUCAAGGAGCCCCCUCCGGCCUCCGUCUGCAGCAGUAGCAGCAGCAGCGAUGACCCUCCGUCCGUCAGCGAGCACGUUUUGCCACUGUCCCCCUCCCCACUGGCAGCGGCGGCGCGCGGGGACCCGGCCGGCAGCUCCUGCCUGGGCUCGGACAGCCCUCAGAGCCCCCCGCCAGACCCCCGCCCGGCCCUCCCCCCUACUGCACCCCAAAGAAGGACCUCAUCCCCGAUCAGAUACGUCUCCGUGGCCAGCUCUCCCUCCACCUCCACCCCCUCCUCCUCCUCCUCCUCCUCCUCCUCCACCCCCCCCUCCUCCUCCUCCUCCUCCUCCUCCUCCACCCCCCCCCUCCUCUUCCUCCUCCUCCACCUCCCCUUCGGCACCCCCAGUGAUGCUGGGCGCUCCCCUGGUGCUCCAGCUGCAGUCCCUGCCUCUGGCCCCGCCCCACGCCCACGGGAGUUCCCCCCCAGCCGGGGCGGCCCCAGCCACGGCGGUGCGCCUGGCCCACCUGGUGCUGGGGCUCCACGGCCCCUCGGGGCCCAACUUCACCCUGCUGUCCCCGCAGGGCGGCUCCGCCCACCACACCACACUGCUGUCCCUCAGCGGCACGGCGGACCAGAAGUACGUCAGGAUCGCCCCUCUGCCCAUCACCAUGAGAACUCUGGAAAUAACCAGCAUCGCGGGGGCUGGGGGCCCCAGCCUGCUGAAGGCAGUGGCCCCCAGGGUGAACCGAGUGACCAGCAUGUCAGAGACCCUGAGGGUCCACAAGUGCUCGCACCCGGGCUGUGAGAAGAUGUACACCAAGAGCAGUCACCUGAAGGCCCACUUCCGCCGCCACACGGGCGAGAAGCCAUACACCUGCAGCUGGCCCGACUGCGGCUGGAGGUUCUCCCGCUCCGACGAACUGUCCCGCCACCGGCGCUCGCACUCGGGCAUCAAGCCCUACGAGUGUUCGCUCUGCGAGAAGAAGUUUGCCCGCAGCGACCACUUAUCCAAACACACCAAGGUCCACCGCAGCUCCCGGCCCGGCCGCCUCAUCAGUGCCACCGUGUGACGCCUUCACCCCCCGCCCCCCCCCACCCCCCCACCCCCCCAUCCAUCACUACGCCGGGACCCCGAGGCAUCCACACUAUCCCCAAUCAGCUCUUUGACUCUGGGCAUAAAGGGAGCAGAGCUGAACGGUGCUGACCCUUGAUCUCUCCGUCCCGCCUCCACUCAGCUCCCCUGUGAUGCUCCUCCUGACCUGUCAUUGGUCGCUUCCAGUGCGUUUUCUUCUUCCAAGCAGACUAUUCCAUGGCGCUAUAACAGUAAGCUAGAGAAGGAGGAACCGUUGUGCAAUGUGAGAAUUGAUUUGAUGGCCUUCGCCCAGUCACGAUGUUGCUAGCCUUUCGAUAUGACGUCCAUCAGACGUUUUGUCAUGAAGUGAAGACCUAAGCCAUUGCGUGCACUAGAUAAUUUUCCCAUAUUACCCAAAUGUUAUUUCUGGAAGUCCACUUGCUUUGGAGCUGGCAUCACUGAACUUGAUGAUAUUCAUUUAACAUUAGCAAGGGUUGUAUAUCAGUAUAUCAUCAACUUACAAAAUUAAGCUGAUAUAUAUACUGUAUAGAUAUAUCAUUUUUUCCUACUCUCUAAAUUUAGAGAAAAUGUUUCCAGUUUUUGCAUAUCUUAAUGUGCUCAAAAUCCUUCCUACAAAUUCUGCAUACAAUACAAACCAUGACCUUUUUAUGCACACGUUCAAUCAUGAUCCACCGAGUACAAGCCUAUUGCCUUCAUCAAUGCAGAUAUCCAUUGAUGCCUUUUGACCCUGGGGGUGCGGGAGAAGAUCACCUGAUCUUAAUUCAGAACAACUACGACCUGCUCUUAUUUAACUGUGAUGAAUAGGAGGGGGCUGCCAAGCCAGAAUCCUUGUUCUGGUCCUCUGUGAGCAUGUAAAAUACACUCUCGCUGGGUGACCUAAAAUCCUUGGCAGCGCUUUGUGCGCUUUCUUUCUGAAGUCACAGAGCUCCCCCACGGCUAAUGUCACUCACCCUCUCCAUGGCACACAUAUGUUAUAAGACUUGACUCUGUAACGCAUAUUUACUGCAUUGAAAGUACUGUAAACAUUUUGUUUCAUAGUUUUAGUGCAACAGCAAGAAAAGCUAAUGUUUUACCAGACCUGGAAGGGCAGCUAAUCAGUCAAAACAUCAGUCGUCGCCUGUUCCAAGUAUAAUGUCUACCCAUAUAAGUGACUCAUAUUAACCCAUGUACAGAGAUAGUAUAGUAUCCCUCAAAUAGAUGUAUCAAAUAGGAUUUUUUCAACCAGUGCAUUAAGCUAUUUAGCAUUGCUUUCUGGCCACCUCUUUGGUCUGUGAGUCUGAUUGUAGUGUGAUCAAUCCCUGACAUGUCGUCAAGGGGACUGACGGUCCCACUGGCGGUGGAUUUUUGGGCUUUUGGACUCAUGCCCUCUACCCUUCUGUACAUUACAACCAUAAGAGAUGAAUCUGCUGUUCUCAAGUGCAUUUUUUUUCCUUUCAUUUUUAUUCACUGAAAAGCGAAGUGCGGCAAGGCACUCAACCGAUUAACUUCCACCAAUUUACCAGAGUGAAGAAUCUGAACGCUAAAUGCCAAAAUGUUAUGAUUAUUUUUCUAUUAAAGCAAGGAAACCGCAUUUCCAUGUUGUUAUCACAGACAUAACCCAUGAAAAAACAUCCAAGAGUAACAGUUCUUCUUUUUCCAUUUAUCUUUGUUAUGAGCAGCAGAUGCAAUCUUAACCAUCCUUGCAAUAUAAUUAUAUUGUUGUCUAAACCCACAUUCAAAACAAGUAUAAAAGCCAUUGUUGUUGCUGCUGUUAAGAACAUGACAGGACACAUUUUGUUACGCAAAGCUACUGUACAUAAUGUGGGCUUAAAGUGCUUUCGAACAGCAAAAGUAAAAGUUUUGUGAGUCCUUCGCUAAACAGCAAAUGUAUUUCGGCAGUAGAAGGCAACCCAGUCUCACGGAAAUGAGUGACACUGUCACGUCACGUCGUUUAAUCUAUUCAUUCGUGAUCUUGGACACGUAAUUUCCAUUUUUUCUCUUUUUUUUUUCAAAUUUCUAACAAUAUGACAUCUUUCGGCCACCCGUUUCUACUUUCACCUUUGAUUCUGAGAAAUUGUGACAAUUCACGGAUAUAUUUAAUGAAGGUGCGCUGCUCUGUAGGCAAACCGCAACGAAAAAAAAAAGGUUGCUGCUUCAUCUCUUCUUUUUAGAAUGAGUUGUGUCACGUAUUUCCGUGAGACUGGGUUACAGAAGGACAUGAUUGUCGUCUAUUUUUGGGGAAUGUUGUCAAUGUAGGUCAUGUUUUAUUUUAUUUUUAUUUUGAAAUUAAUGAAGAGAUUCAACUCUGCUGUGACAAUGAAGCUAAAGAUAUUGGCUGGACGUUCAAUCUGAUACAUGGUGCUUGCUGACUGGUGCUUUCACUGACAUGAGUUUGGACACAAAAAUACCUGCAAUCUAGCUCUGUAACUGCAGCGCCUCUGAGAGCUGAGCUCGUCCAGUGCUCCACUACACAACGGGCCGGCCUCUCUUUGGCCUCUCGCUGAAAUUUUGAGCAUCUGUAUUUUGAUUUGUCGAAAACAUGUAGAAAUUAAUUUGAAAGGAUGGACAGACCGAUGGACAGGCAGAUGACCGACAUGUUUAUGUCUGAACCAGUAUUGUUAUUGUCUGAGCCUCCCCAGGCUGCUUCCAAUGACCUACAUCCAAGCCUGCAUUCUAUUAUUCAUUCUCUCUCUCUCUCUCUCUGACACUCUCUCUCUCCGUCUGUGUGUGUCUGUGUGUGUGUGUUUGUGUGUGUGUGUGUGGAUGCUUGUUCUGCUUGUAUUUCAGUAAUACAGGCACUUUUUUUGAUUACCAGAAAUGCUAUUUUCCUAUUCACAAAUUAAAGUUUGCAAAGAGCCUUA